rnacentral:rRNA from 1 species
UACAGAGGUCUCAAGCGUUGUUCGGAUUCAUUGGGCGUAAAGGGCGCGUAGGCGGCGGGGUAAGUCGGGUGUGAAAUCUCAGGGCUCAACCCUGAAACUGCACUCGAUACUGCUCUGCUUGAGGACUGGAGAGGAGACUGGAAUUCACGGUGUAGCAGUGAAAUGCGUAGAUAUCGUGAGGAAGACCAGUGGCGAAGGCGGGGUCU